rnacentral:rRNA from 1 species
UGGGGAAUAUUGCACAAUGGGCGCAAGCCUGAUGCAGCCAUGCCGCGUGUAUGAAGAAGGCCUUCGGGUUGUAAAGUACUUUCAGUAGGGAGGAAGGUGUACGUGUUAAUAGCACGUGCAAUUGACGUUACCUACAGAAGAAGCACCGGCUAACUCCGUGCCAGCAGCCGCGGUAAUACGGAGGGUGCAAGCGUUAAUCGGAAUUACUGGGCGUAAAGCGCACGCAGGCGGUUUGUUAAGUUGGAUGUGAAAUCCCCGGGCUUAACCUGGGAACUGCAUCCAAGACUGGCAAGCUAGAGUCUCGUAGAGGGAGGUAGAAUUCCAGGUGUAGCGGUGAAAUGCGUAGAGAUCUGGAGGAAUACCGGUGGCGAAGGCGGCCUCCUGGACGAAGACUGACGCUCAGGUGCGAAAGCGUGGGGAGCAAACA